rnacentral:lncRNA from 1 species
GGAAGGCAUGACAGAUGUGCCUUCCUUAGGGAGAAGUAGGAAGGCUGGAAUGAGGAGGCCAGAAGAGGAAUGUCCUACGUGAACGUGAUUUAACAGCUCCAUCGCCUGGGGCCACGUGGAAUUCUUGAAGCAGCUGUGUCAGACAUCCGAGUCAAGUUGGGGCAUGAGUGACCUCUCAACAUCUAAUGGAGCAUUUACUCCUUAGGCAGUUGAUGACAAUAGUUCUCCAAACCUGCUGAUCCCAAGGUGGCAGGUUUCCCGGUCAGCUGUGGCUCUGAAGUAGGAGG